GACGAACGCUGGCGGCGUGCCUAAUACAUGCAAGUUGAGCGCUGAAGGUUGGUACUUGUACCAACUGGAUGAGCAGCGAACGGGUGAGUAACGCGUGGGGAAUCUGCCUUUGAGCGGGGGACAACAUUUGGAAACGAAUGCUAAUACCGCAUAAAAACUUUAAACACAAGUUUUAAGUUUGAAAGAUGCAAUUGCAUCACUCAAAGAUGAUCCCGCGUUGUAUUAGCUAGUUGGUGAGGUAAAGGCUCACCAAGGCGAUGAUACAUAGCCGACCUGAGAGGGUGCUCGGCCACAUUGGGACUGAGACACGGCCCAAACUCCUACGGGAGGCAGCAGUAGGGAAUCUUCGGCAAUGGACGAAAGUCUGACCGAGCAACGCCGCGUGAGUGAAGAAGGUUUUCGGAUCGUAAAACUCUGUUGGUAGAGAAGAACGUUGGUGAGAGUGGAAAGCUCAUCAAGUGACGGUAACUACCCAGAAAGGGACGGCUAACUACGUG
rnacentral:rRNA from 1 species